AGCAGUCGCCGCGGGAAUACGGAGGGUGCAAGCGUUAAUCGGAAUUACUGGGCGUAAAGCGCACGCAGGCGGUCUGACAAGUCAGAUGUGAAAUCCCCGGGCUUAACCUGGGAACUGCAUUUGAAACUGUCAGGCUGGAGUCUUGUAGAGGGGGGUAGAAUUCCAGGUGUAGCGGUGAAAUGCGUAGAGAUCUGGAGGAAUACCGGUGGCGAAGGCGGCCCCCUGGACAAAGACUGACGCUCAGGUGCGAAAGCGUGGGGAGCAAACAGGAUUAGAUACCCCAGUAGUCCCUGUCUCUUAUAC
rnacentral:rRNA from 1 species